rnacentral:rRNA from 1 species
CACGUAGGCGGCUUCGCAAGUCGGAUGUGAAAUCCCUCGGCUCAACCGAGGACGGGCAUACGAAACUGCGGAGCUUGAGUGCUGAAGAGGAUCGCGGAAUUCCCGGUGUAGAGGUGAAAUUCGUAGAUAUCGGGAGGAACACCAGUGGCGAAGGCGGCGAUCUGGGCAGACACUGACGCUGAGGUGCGAAAGCGUGGGAAGCAAACA